GUAACCAUUGUCAUCGUUGGAAUGAAUUAUGCUUUCAUUACCUGGCUGACUUCUGGGCCUCAUCUCCUUAGGGGCUGGAAAGCCUUCAAGAUCAGUGCCAGCAUCCAAGGAAAUGCUCUUCCUCAUGUCAGCUCCCCUCCAGAGCCAAAAGAAGACUACUGUCUCUUCCUAUUUCAAAACGCUUCAUACCCCUAAUGGGCCUCUUAUCCACUUAUAGUACUCUGGAGACUGGACACUCCAUUUUUUAUUCUCCAACCUUCCCCUCUACCCCCAACACAUAUUAUCCUAAUCUUUCUGACCAUGCAGUUCCCUCCACCUGGCAUAUUCACAUUAAAUGCACGUCUUUUCUAUGAAAACUUCUGUGAUGACUCUAGCUCUUGCUCAUCUCCCUUUAAGAGUUUUUACAGCCCGUUGUCUUCACCAUGCAUUUUAACAAUUGGGAUCUCUCUUGUGAUGUUCACUAUUAGCUCAUGUGGGUUGGUUAAAUCUAGACUUAAGAGGCUCUGCUCCUCAGAAGUUGGACUUCUGAAAAAUGCUGAACGAGAACAAGAAUCAGAAGAAGAAAUGUGACUUUGAUGAGCUUCCAAUUUUUCUAGAUAAACCUUUUCUUUUUUACAUUGUCUUUGUUCUUGGUUUUGUUUCUUGAUCUUUUGUUUGGAGAACAGCUGGCUAAGGAUGAUCUAAGUGUACUGUUUGCAUUUCCAAUUUGGUUAAAGUAUUUGAAUUUAAAUAUUUUAUUUUUAGUUUUGAAAAUAUUUUGGGUGAUACUUUCAUUUUGCACAUCAUGCACAUCAUGGUAUUCAGGGGCUAGAAUGAUUUUUUUCCAGAUUAUCUAAAGUUGGAUGCCCACACUAUGAAAAAAAUAUUUGUUUUAUUUGCCUUAUAGAUAUUCUCAAGGUUGCUGGGCUUGCUACUAUUUGUAACUCCUUGACCAUGGAAUUACACUUGUUUAUCUUGUUGCUGCAAUGAGGAAUAAAUGAAUGUAUGUAUUUUGGUGCAGA
rnacentral:sRNA from 1 species